rnacentral:rRNA from 1 species
GACGAACGCUGGCGGCGUGCUUAACACAUGCGAGUCGAACGAAAAGAGGGAAAGAGCUUGCUCUUUCCGGAAUUGAGUGGCAAACGGGUGAGUAACACGUAAACAACCUGCCUUCAGGAUGGGGACAACAGACGGAAACGACUGCUAAUACCGAAUAAGUUCCAAGGGCCGCAUGGCCCAUGGAAGAAAAGGUGGCCUCUACCUGUAAGCUAUCGCCUGAAGAGGGGUUUGCGUCUGAUUAGCUGGUUGGAGGGGUAACGGCCCACCAAGGCGACGAUCAGUAGCCGGUCUGGGAGGAUGAACGGCCACCCUGGGACUGCGACACGGUCCAGGCUCCUACGGGGGGCAGCCGUGGGGAAUCUUCCGCAAUGGGCGAAAGCCUGACGGAGCAACGCCGCGUGAGUGAUGACGGCCUUCGGGUUGUAAAACUCUGUGAUCCGGGACGAAAAGGCAGAGUGCGAAGAACAAACUGCAUUGACGGUACCGGAAAAGCAAGCCACGGCUAACUACGUG